rnacentral:rRNA from 1 species
GGACCCGCACAAGCGGUGGAGUAUGUGGUUUAAUUCGAGCAACACGAAGAACCUUACCAGGGUUUGAAAUCAUUUCAAAACUCCUUGAAAGAGGAGCCUCCUUCGGGAUGAAAUGACAGGUGGUGCAUGGCUGUCGUCAGCUCGUGUUGUGAAAUGUCGAGUUAAGUCUCGUAACGAGCGCAACCCCAUGUCUCUUGUUGCUCACUGAGUGCUUAAGAGAGACUGCCGACCAACAUCGGAGGAAGGUGUGGAUGAUGUCAAGUCAGCAUGCCCCUUACAUCCUGGGCUACACACGUACUACAAUGGUAGGGACAAAGAGCAGCUAACUCGCGAGAGUACGCAAAUCUCAUAAACGUGGCUCAG